AUUGAACGCUGGCGGAAUGCUUUACACAUGCAAGUCGAACGGCAGCACGGGGGCAACCCUGGUGGCGAGUGGCGAACGGGUGAGUAAUACAUCGGAACGUGCCCAGUCGUGGGGGAUAACGUAGCGAAAGCUACGCUAAUACCGCAUACGAUCUAUGGAUGAAAGCGGGGGACCGUAAGGCCUCGCGCGAUUGGAGCGGCCGUUGGCAGAUUAGGUAGUUGGUGGGGUAAAGGCUCACCAAGCCUGCGAUCUGUAGCUGGUCUGAGAGGACGACCAGCCACACAGGGACUGAGACACGGCCCAGACUCCUACGGGAGGCAGCAGUGGGGAAUUUUGGACAAUGGGCGCAAGCCUGAUCCAGCCAUUCCGCGUGCAGGAUGAAGGCCUUCGGGUUGUAAACUGCUUUUGUACGGAACGAAAAGGCUCUUUCUAAUACAAGGAGCUCAUGACGGUACCGUAAGAAUAAGCACCGGCUAACUACGUGCCAGCAGCCGCAGUAACAC
rnacentral:rRNA from 1 species